rnacentral:rRNA from 1 species
GAGACUCUGUGCGCGUGCAUAUCAAUAAGCGGAGGAAAAGAAACUAACUAGGAUUCCCUCAGUAACGGCGAGUGAAGCGGGAAGAGCUCAAAUUUGAAAUCUUAAAGGGUUUCCCUUUACGAAUUGUAGUUUAAAGAAGUGUUUUCUGUUGGAGUUUCGGUAAAAGUUCUUUGGAAUAGGACAUCAUAGAGGGUGAGAAUCCCGUAUUUGACCGUUACUUUCCAGCUGUGUGAUACACUUUCAAAGAGUCGGAUUGUUUGGGAAUGCAGUCCAAGAUGGGUGGUAAAUUUCAUCUAAAGCUAAAUAUUGGCGAGAGACCGAUAGCGAACAAGUACCGUGAGGGAAAGAUGAAAAGAACUUUGAAAAGAGAGUUAAACAGUACGUGAGAUUGUCAAAAGGGAAGCGUUUGACACCAGUGUUGUUUAGUUGAAAAUCAAUUCAAUAAUUUUUGAUUCUGAGUAGUAUUGACUUCAUCAGCUUGCUGCUUUCUUCUCAGAAAUUAUUGAAUGCACUUUUCAGUUAACAAGUCAACAUCGAUUUCUUUUGUUGUAAAAGGUAAGAGGAAGGUGGCUUGCGCUUCGGCUCAAGUGUUUAUAGCCUUUUAUCUCUGCAAUCGGAGAGAUUGAGGUCUGCAGCGUAGAUCCUUCGGGGUUAGAUACAUUGGUGCUAAGCUAUAGCCUUGUAUAGACAACUUGUUGACUAUGCUCAGUCAUGUAGCUUACUCGCUGAUGCUAUUUUACCUACGCUUAGGAUGUUGACAGCAGUAUGGACUGU